GAUGUGUGCAUUUGUUGCACACAGUCUGCAAACUUGCGCGCGAAGAAGUGCGGGUCUUACUCCAUUCUGUUUCUUGUGAACUAAUCAGUCGUUAGUUUGAGCUUCGUCCAACAUUAAUCAUCAGAAAUGAAUUCUGCUUAUCGACACCGAAGCUCUAUUUGAUGAGGAGACGAGCAGUUGCAACGAUUCAGCACAGCAGGGCAUUAUAUCGGAUCAACGGAACAGAUCACGAUGCAACAGAGGACCGGCGGUGAGAGUGACUCCAGCGGGGGAUGAGUUCGGGUGCGGCCGGCCUCCAGCUGUAGCAGCAGCAGCGGUCACCCCCAGACAAAGCAGACCGUGCCGUCCAUGGUGGGCGACAGAGAGGCAGAUGGGGUGGGAGUGCGUUGGGAGCUCGCAGAUCUCUCCAACAGUACUGGCGCGGGAGAUGACACCGGAGGCGGCAGUGGAGGCGGAGGAAGCACUACCAAAGAGGUGCGAUACGCGCCUUUCCCGAUGUGCUCCCCGCCUCUCCCGCCGCCUCCACCGCCGCUGCCGCUCAACUUGCAGCAGCAGCGCGCCCACUCUCGUUCCAUGUCUUCACUGCCCCCGGAACCCUUCAUGAUCAUGCGAUCCAAGGCACUCAGCCGUAGGGUCUGUAUAAAUGUGGGGGGUGUCAAACAUGAAGUGCUGUGGCGGACGCUUGAGAGACUCCCCCACACGCGUCUCGGAAGACUUCGCGACUGCAACACCCACGAAGCCAUCAGCGAACUCUGCGACGAUUAUUCUCUCAUUGACAAUGAGUAUUUCUUCGACCGCCAUCCCAAGUCCUUCAGUUCCAUUCUGAACUUCUACCGCACCGGAAAGUUGCACUUGGUGGACGAGAUGUGUGUGCUUGCGUUCAGUGACGAUUUGGAGUACUGGGGGGUCGACGAGCUCUACCUGGAGUCUUGCUGCCAGCACAAGUACCACCAGAGGAAGGAGCAUGUUCACGAGGAGAUGCGCAAGGAGGCCGAGUCCCUCAGACAGAGAGAGGAGGAAGAAUUCGGGGACGGGAAGUGUGCUCAGUACCAGAAGUGGCUGUGGGACCUCCUGGAGAAGCCUACGACGUCCAUCGCCGCCAGGGUGAUAGCAGUCAUCUCCAUCCUGUUCAUUGUACUAUCGACGAUCGCUCUGACACUCAACACCAUCCCGAGCCUUCAGGUGAAUGACGAAAAGGGGAACUUUCAGGACAAUCCUCAGCUAGCGAUGGUUGAGGCGGUGUGCAUCACCUGGUUCACCCUCGAGUACGUCCUGCGUUUCAGCGCCUCCCCAAACAAGUGGAAGUUUUUUAAAGGUGGCCUCAACGUUAUUGACCUUCUUGCCAUCAUGCCUUACUUUGUGUCCCUGUUUCUUCUCGAGACGAACAAGAACGCAACCGAUCAGUUUCAAGAUGUGCGCCGUGUGGUCCAAAUUUUCCGGAUCAUGCGUAUUCUCCGGAUACUGAAGCUGGCCCGACAUUCCACGGGCCUUCAGAGUCUCGGGUUCACGCUCAGGAACUCCUACAAGGAACUAGGUCUUCUCAUGCUCUUCCUUGCCAUGGGCGUGCUUAUAUUUUCAAGUCUGGCUUACUUCGCUGAGAAAGAGGAGAAGGACACUAAGUUCAUCAGCAUACCCGAGACUUUCUGGUGGGCUGGCAUCACCAUGACAACGGUGGGCUAUGGAGACAUAUACCCGACAACCCCGCUGGGGAAAGUCAUAGGAAGUGUCUGUUGCAUUUGUGGGGUCCUGGUGAUCGCACUGCCCAUUCCUAUCAUAGUCAACAAUUUUGCCGAGUUCUACAAGAACCAGAUGAGAAGAGAGAAGGCGCUGAAGAGAAGGGAGGCCCUGGAGCGAGCCAAGAGGGAGGGCAGUAUCGUGUCUUUCCAUCACAUCAAUCUAAGGGAUGCCUUCGCCAAGAGCAUGGACCUGAUCGACGUCAUUGUGGACACAGGCCACAACAUGUCCCAGGCUGAUGGAAACAGCACAGAGGCCGAGAGCGCCAGCGGUACAACUACCCGGGGUAACCAGGUCGGAUGUUACCGCAACUUCGACCACUUCUCUAGCCGACAUCGCCGAAGCAAUUCUUCCCAACCUGCACCGAGUCUUCCCAUUGCAGCCGGGCCUGAUGGAGGCUUGAGUAAUCCACCCCCGCCACCCCCAAGCCCGCCGGCGACACACCAAGAGCUCCAGCAACAGCUUCUCCUGGACUUGCCCCCGAUGGCGGUGCAGCCGGUAGGACAGACAGAAGAACAGCAACCACUCACUCGCUCGCCAGGGGACUACACCUCCCCGGAAUUCAAGGAAUUCAUUGACGCGGAGAGUCUAAUGCCUCUGCCCACGAGUGACUUCCGAAACCCCGUUUGCCUCGAGAUGAAGACACUGAAGGCCGGAUAUUGGGCACAAGCCGGGAGUGCCGGUGGCCAGUACGUGCCAAUGAGUAUUGAUCUGAACAGCGCCAGUAAGGUCGGAGCGAACAGUAACAACGGAGAUCUAGGAAGCGUAGACAGUUCCGACACUUAUGCAAGCUGCAGCACGCACCCUUUCCUCUCUCAGGGGGACCUCACCUCCGACAUCGCAGAUCCAGCCUGUGCCAUAGUGGACCUCGUGUUGGACAGCAACCUCUACGUCAAUCCAAUGGACAACCAAAGGAGCAGAGACAGCAGCCCGUUGCAGCAGCUGCAACAGCCACUGGUGCUCUCUGCGCUGUCGACAAGCAGGGGCAGUCUCGGAGUUGUGAAGAAGAGUGCAUCAGGUGACACAGCUCUGCGAAGUCUCGGGGCUUCACCUAUGGACGAAUCCUUCCAGGGAUUCCCUGGUGUUGCUUCGGAGAGGGGCAGCAGGGGGAGCCUUAAUGACACUCCGCUGCCUAAACACAGGAAAACUCGGUUCCAGCAGGGUGUGAAGCUCCGGACGAGGUUCGGGGAGCCAGAACGAGCAACGGGAGACUCCCAGGAAAGCCUGGAGACCAAACAGCGAGGUUCCAGCAAGAGACCGAGCUUCAUGCCCACUCGCAGCAUCGCGUCAGCCACGAGGCUCAUCAACCAGCAUCUGUUCGGAAUCCAGACGCUUGAAGGUAAGGAAGGACGGAGCAAAUCAUCACUGUCUGUAGACUCCAUUGACAGCAGAACAAGUCCGACUCUGGAUCAGCAUCGCCGUUCAAAGUCCAUCCUGAAGAAGUCAGACAGUAGCGGACAUCAUCACAGAAAUGGACGCUCUUCGACAGAUCCGGAAACAGAGAAACUGAUCUCGGACAAUACUUCCGGCGUCAGCGCAUCCGACAAUGGCGGCACUGGGUGCGGUGCAGGGUCUGGCUCUGAGUAUUCGCCCAACAAACUCCCCAUCCGGGCAGCCACUCUCUCGCCUCCAGCGACACCCGCCAUGGCAAGGCAGCCCCAGAAGCUGCAGCAGUUGCGCGCCAUAGGGCCUAAAUCCGGCACGAAACCCCACGCUCUUCCCAUCAAAUUUGUAGGGCUAAGUGAAGAGGGCGACAAGUCGCGGAAGCUAAAGUCGCCCCUGCUCAUGUUGGAGGACUUGUUUGGAGGGGAGAAACACGCCCGAGACGAGGCGUCCGUGGAGAACAGGUACAGAGAGAGGCUAGAAGCGGUUGUGGGGGGGUGCGUGUCCGCACCAGGGGAUGGUGGCUGCUGUGGUGGUGGUCCGCAAACGUCGGGCCCCUUAUACAUCUGCCCACCAGCGUCUGCGGCGGAGGAGCACUCCCCCACAGAGGAGACCAAGUUGCUGCUUCAUCAAACGGCCGUGGAGCUGUUGGCACCUGCCCGGCGUCACCACAGCGGUGGUGCUGGGACCGGAAGUAGUCGACCGAGGACUAAACAGAAGCAGGAUCUUCCCACGUCGUAGCAAUCACAGCAGUCAUCUCUCUGCUAUGCCAGAUUCAACUACUAUACUAGUGAUGCAGUAAUCUCUUUCUGGUGGUGGAACAAAGUGGUUUAAUAAUCAGCAGAGAGAUGUCACCAGACUCUGGGCUAAAGAAAACAGCGGGAGGAGGCAAGAAGAGCUAUGUAUACACGCUGAAUAUCCUGUUUGCAACUCAUCAGAUGCAAGUGAAAAUAGUGAGAGUUAUUAUGAAAAAUUAAAUUCAUCAGACUAUGAGAAAGUGUCUCCAGUAUUUGAGAACACUGAACAUGAACUCUGAAACAUUCUGAAUGUAAGCAAUAUGAUUGAUGGAAGAACAUUAUUUUAGUAGUGUUGUUAAUGGAUGCAAAGAAGUAAAUUUUGCAAAAGCUUAUUUCUGCCUGUGAUUCUUUUUUGUAAUAAUAUAAUAAAAGUGAUCAUCAUUAUAUGUUUUGGUGAUGUGAAUAGUUUCAAAACUGGCAACUUAUUGUGUAAUACACCUGUUUUGACAGCAGUGCUUUCAACGUGAUCCCUGCUCAUUGUAUGAUAAAGUACAUAUGAACAUUUUUCAAAAUAUAGUAACUAAGUGGUUGUUGGUUAUGAAAAGCAGAAGAGUGUCAUCAACCAUAUUCACCAACAAAAACUACCCUAGAAAGUAUGUAAAGUAUGUUUGUAGACAUCACCACUUGAAUCUGGAAUAAAUAAGUGCUCAGUUAAUUCAUUAAGUAAAUUUGUUUCAAAUACCCAUUAUAAAUCAGAAUGAUUUCUAAUAAAUGUAAAUUCACAGUAACCAAGCUGCAUAUCCUGUCUUAAAAUUUGUUGUGUGAAAACCACUUCUGAGAUAAGUAACACUUACAAGAAGCAAAAAUAAAAAUAGUUACCCAUUCCUUUCUCUGUGAAAAACUAUGAUUCUCAAAGUCAGUCAGAAUUCUUCCAUUUAAAGUAUCAGACCUAUAAUUAAUUUGAAAUACAAGUGCAUUUGUAAAAUGGGAUAUCUUCUUUGUAUGAUAUGAUUUGAUAAGGUUAACUGUAGGAGGAUUCGAAAUGUACAACAUACUGGAUAUUUCACAGUUCACAGAUGACAUCUACAACAUGAAAAUCUGAGUAGGAAGAGCAUUUCAUUUGUUUUGGCAAAGACUCUUUUGAUUGUUAAAAGUAAUCUCCAUAUUCUCAGAUCAUUUUCAUUUGCUUAAUCCAUCUUUUAAAAAUCUUGAAUAUAACUUUAAACUACCAGAUGAAACAUUCAUAACACAAAACAAAGUCUUGGCAUAAAUUGUAUCAAUAGACAAAAUUUAAAAUAAUGUUGGCAGAAAAUAUUUCCAUAGGUGUCUGCCCAAUACAUGGUUACUAAAAUACCCCAAUAGACUGUACAGAAGAAAAAUUUUAGUGCUAUCAAUAAGCAUGCAGGAAACACCUAUGAAUGGCAGUAAACUGAAAAUUAUCAUACCAUAACAGCAGGGUUCACAGCAUCAUUACUGUCAGGGGUUCAACCUAAACCUCUGACUUCAUAGAAACACACACGAUGAGUACGUAAAUUGCAACACUGAAGUACCCAGUAUUCAGUAAAUUUUGAUAUAAAUUUUAUUCUUUAUCUUUCUUGUCUAAUAAAUAUCUCUUGGUAUCUUUAUCAGGAAUCAAUGAGACAUGCUUCAAAGAAAUAACAAAAAAAAAGGAAUGGAAAUUUUAUUACUGUAAGAAAGGAUGUUUGUUUGAUGGCAUCAGACAUUGCAAUUAAGACAUGAAUCUGAAACUCAAGACUAGUUAUAAGACUCUUUCCUUUCAUUCCACAGUGACCUAUAUUAUAUUUAAGCAUCCUGUUACAUUCCACACUUCUAUAUGUAUAAUAUAAACUGCA